UACGUAGGGGGCUAGCGUUGUCCGGAAUCAUUGGGCGUAAAGCGCGUGUAGGCGGUCCGGUAAGUCCGCUGUGAAAGUCGGGGGCUCAACCCUCGAAUGCCGGUGGAUACUGUCGGGCUAGAGUGCGGAAGAGGCGAGUGGAAUUCCUGGUGUAGCGGUGAAAUGCGCAGAUAUCAGGAGGAACACCACUUGCGAAGGCAGCUCGCUGGGACGUAACUGACGCUGAGACGCGAAAGCGUGGGGAGCAAACAGG
rnacentral:rRNA from 1 species